CGGGGCGGCCUCACGGACACCUCUGGAGUGCCUGCAGGCGGGCCCCCAGCCACUGAAUCAUUUCCAUCGAUCUGUCUUCAAAACAAAUAUGUGGAUGGCACAUGUCUCUAACUACAUAAAUAUCAGCCUGUGCUGUCACAGUGAAGGUACAAAAACAUUAAAAAAAUAAAAAAUACACACCACACGAUGAAGAAAGAGACCCAGGGCAAGACUGAGCAAGACUGCUUUGUCAGGUUUCCAGAAUCCUUCCUCCUCUUGGCUUCAUGGUUCUUGGACUUCUUCCCUGGAUGCUGGGAAGUGCCUGACUCUUGUCAACACUAAACAGCCAGGAUGGUGAAGGAAGCAUUCUUCCAGGAAUUGCAAGAUGACAUCAAGUUAGUUAACUCUUCUACAAUCAAAAUCUGUGUGUAGAUUGAUCUACAAUGUUACUAAAAAUGCGCUGUCUUUAAACUAAACACUGUGACCUUUGGGAUAAGGACUUCAUGAAGUAAGCAUGCACAAAUGAGAUCAAAUGCAGCAUUUGGUGGAUAGUUUUAGCCAGUGAACCCUUCCUUGUUCCCGUGGUUAUGAAACAAAGGCACUACAUUUGGGAUUUGGAACAUGCCAGGCAGAAUUUCUAGUUUUGUUAAAUAACACACAUUAGUCACUGUUUUCACCAAUUCCGUUCUAGUAUUCCAUUCUAGUAUGCCAUGCUAAGACAGAAAUGGAAAGAUAUCUUGAGUUCCUUUACUUAUAUGGUGUACAUGAAAACAAGAAAAUGUGUUCUCUUUGGUUCUGUUGUCUAAGACUGGUGAAAUUUUCAUGCUAAGAGCCCUACAGUUUUAAGCAUGCUCUUGUUCCAGCUGAUUAUAACAGACAUAAGGGUUCCUAUCUAUAUUUAAUAAUAGCAAGUGCAACAUUUUCUGAAGUGAUUGCAGAGCAGAGAUGAUUGUCUAAAUCAGGCUCAUAACCAAUAUAUGAACUGAGUGUAUGCUUAGAAGAAAAUUCCAAUGGAUAUUUUAUUUGACUAGGCUAAAUAAAUACUUCUUGCAUUGCUCUUUAUUGACCUCA